CACACACAAGGAGUAUAUAAUUAUACUAUAUAGUCUAUCUUUUUAUUACUUAGCCUAGUUAUGUUUAGUAUAAUUAUUAAUCUGUUGGAGUUUAUGUUUACCAUCUUAUUGUUUUCUAUUUGAACCAUCUCUCAGUUUUAUGGAAAGAGGCCUAUGCACACAUAUUCACUUAGUAUCUCUCACUAAUACUUUAGCCACUUCCUCACAGAAGCCCACCCAACCUCAAGUCUAGAUACGAUUCCUUUUUGUAGUCAUUUUUGUAGUAUCGUCUUCUUUUUCCUAAGAGCACGUCGCUCAGUUAUUUUGUGUGAAUAUUUAAUUAAUGUCUGUUUCUUCUUUUAGACUAUAAUUCGAUGAUGGUAGGACUUUUUUUAUUAUAAAUAAAUAUUUGUAGCAUUAAAUUAAUAUGUAAAUUCUGUAACUAAUUCUACCUUUCUUUACAAUCAAAGGUUAAAUACAAACAACUUUCAUAAAUAAUCUACCCAUUUCCUUUAUGUAGAAGCGCAUCAUCUCACUGAGGAACCACUAUUAUAUUGAGUCUAAAUUGUCCUACCAUUGAUCAUGUCAAGCCCUCUCUUCAGGGACUUUGAGAGGCUUUGCAGUUUCCUGCAAUAGUGGGCUCAUUUCAUCACAUUUCCUGAGACAACCCUGUUUCUUGCACAUCCACAGGGAGGGUGAAUAGGACUGACCCAGUGCUCAUUUAUUGCAAAUAUUUUCCAGAUUAUUUGGUGCAAAUUCCUCUUCUACAAUAUUCCAUUGUCAUUUUUAAGUGAACUCGUCAAAGCUAAGGGCUCUGACUCAUGAAUGUUCACUUUCUUCCUGGAUUAAGUAGGCAGUCACAGUAAAAAAUGUCUGAUGACUCAAAGUUUCUAUGAGUGUAUUCAAGAUUUUUUCUCUUUUGAAAAAUCACUCUGAGUACAAGCGGAAGAAAUAAUGAUGUGCUAUGUGUCCUUCCUGACAUCCCUACGUAAACGGUACACUCUUCAGGACUUUUAUUCUUUCAGAAAUAUUCCAGCUUUUCAAGGUCCUUUGAUCCAUGUUUUAAUUAAAGGAAAAAAUUAUUUCUUUUUAUGCAUGUACUUUAAGAAAGUUUAUACCAAUAAUUCAAAUUAAGCAGAAUAAGUACCAUGAAAAUUAGAGAAAAUCAAAUCAGGCGAAUAAACCUAUUGCAAAUUACCUGGAGGCUUGACUUGUCCUUGGGUCAAGUUGCAUUGUAUUAGAAUAAAUAUAAUCUGCUGAGUGUAAAUGAAAACUCAGGGAAUAGGGCAGCCUUAUACAAAUAUCAACAGAUAUCUUACUCUGCUCACUACAGUCAACAGAUUAAAAAAUAGAUCUUUAUGGCACCAGGAGCUUAAAAUUUGUGAAAUAAAUGUUUAGAAAAUUUCAUUAUCUAACUCCUCGAAGAAAGCCCUUCUGCUGUAUUUCAACUAGAUACUGGACAUCACAGCUUCUGGAGUCUAUAGGAUUUGUCCAUGCCAAAAAUAUUUAUGAUUUACUUUUCCUCUGAAAGGCUAUUGUUGCCAUAUUGUUGCACAAUGGCUUUCUGAGACCAAUCAACUUUCUCUAGGGCCCAGGAAGAGUAAAAUCAAUAGUACACCCCUCAAUCAUUAUCUCAACUGAUUUUUGAUGGUACUUCUUCACUAUACAGCAACCAUUCUAUUCCUGUGGUAACAAGUUUUUAUAUUAACACAUUGAACACAUUAGUUUCUUAUCACAAACCCCUCCAACCCACAAUAAACUAGGAUUUUGAUUUUCACAUAACAGAACACAUUUGCUCAUUAAAGAUGGAGCAAGGGCUCGGGGGAGAGAGAGAGAGAGAGAGUGAGAGAGAGUGAGAGAUUGAGAUUUUUCCCAAAGACAAUUUAGUUCUUUUUCAAAAAGUAAACUACGGACUCCCACUCCUGUCCAUGACAGAAUGAAUCUGACUAGACUUGCUCUCCCAUAGUAAACAAGUAGGAAACCAAACAAAAUAUAUAAAACAAACAAUUGUUUUCAGAGACUGGACAACAGACAGUACAGGUGUGUGAUUCUGAGGUAAGGGAAGCAAAUGAUAUGAUCCCUAAAAUAACCUUGGCUUUCUACCUGGAGACAUUUUCCAGACCACAAUAAGGAAAAGAAAUCCCAAGCAGAGAAUGGUACUAUCUCUGAAUUAGGGAAAUCGUUUCUGAGUUUGGAGAGGCUGAGACUACUAGAAUUUGGGGGCAGAGUAAAAAAGGACAGAGCUACGCAGAGAAAAAGCUCCAUAAAUCUGCACCAGCGUGCCUAUGAGUCUUUGUACAUUUAUAGGGUAAGGCUCUAUAAGGAGGCUAAGCAGAAAAUAAUCACAAUGGAAAGAAUGACUAAUAAGGAGAUAUUCAUUCUAGAAUUCUGAGAGCUAGAAGACAUAUGAGUUUUGACUAAUAGGAAUGGCGAUACUCGAACUCCUGGGGUAUUCAAUGGAAGCUUCAAAAAGAUACUGACAGCUAUUCAACAAAUAAAGAAAAAGAGGCAUAGAAAAUUUGGAUAACUUACUAAAGUCAUUGAGACAACAGACAGCCAAGGCAUUGGCACAGUCUUUGGACAUGAAAAUCAUGGAGAAGGAAGAGGCUGAUUGUUAUCCAUGAUUAGGCAGUGCAGAUAUAGCUCAAUAUUCCAAAUGGGAUGUUUUGGCCUUGGAGUUAAGUUCCAAGAGCAUUAUAAAAUAAUCACCUGUAUAGGAAGUCCUGACUUAACUCUAUUAACAACUUCGAAAGUCACAUACCUGAAGAUGAUCCUGCAUGUCCAUAGAGCCUAGGUCCCUCAAAAGAUGGUGUUGCAAUGACAGAAAUUGAGACAUCAAGAGAACGUUUAGCAGAAUAAGUUAGUUAAGAUGUAGGUGUGUCGAAAGUUUCAGGUGUCAGUAAACAUCAAAAGAAAAUGUAGCAGUAGCUAGAAAUUUCCAGGCUGAAGAUGAAGGUUAAAGCUAAAGAUAGACUAUUUUUGUCAUCUACAUGGAAGAUGAUGGCUAAAGCUAUAAGAGUGAAUGACAUCAGCAAGGAAGAAAAUACAGGAAUAAGGAAGAAGAGAUGGUGAAAUGGCUACUCGUAAGGAGUGGGAGAAAGAAUAAAUGAGAAGAAAAUGAAGAAUGUGUGGCCAAGAACAUAGGAGAAAAGCCAGGAAGAUCAAUGUCUUAUCAACAGACAGAUUUGAGCAGCAGGCUGGGAGAAGGGUCCACACAAAAAUUCUGAGAUGGAGAUGAUGGCUAAAGUUAGAGUUCACAUUGGAUGACUUUGAACUCAGUAAACUAGGUGAAUUUGCCAGAAGAUAUGAAGCUGUGGGAACUUGGAAGCCCAGGACACUAUGAUAUUGAUUACAGGGAAAUAGUUCAAAAAUAUCACAAGAUUACAAGCA
rnacentral:lncRNA from 1 species